rnacentral:tRNA from 1 species
GCCUGGGUAGCUCAGUGGUUGAGCGUCUGUCUUCAGCGCAGGGUGUGAUCCCGGGAUCGAGUCCCGCAUCGGGCU